UUAAGCGACUAAGCGUACACGGUGGAUGCCCUGGCAGUCAGAGGCGAUGAAGGACGUGCUAAUCUGCGAAAAGCGUCGGUAAGGUGAUAUGAACCGUUAUAACCGGCGAUGUCCGAAUGGGGAAACCCAGUGCAAUUCGUUGCACUAUCGUUAACUGAAUACAUAGGUUAACGAGGCGAACCGGGGGAACUGAAACAUCUAAGUACCCCGAGGAAAAGAAAUCAACCGAGAUUCCCCCAGUAGCGGCGAGCGAACGGGGAGCAGCCCAGAGUCUGAAUCAGCUUGUGUGUUAGUGGAACGGUCUGGAAAGUCCGACGGUACAGGGUGAUAGUCCCGUACACCAAAAUGCACAGGCUGUGAACUCGAAGAGUAGGGCGGGACACGUGGUAUCCUGUCUGAAUAUGGGGGGACCAUCCUCCAAGGCUAAAUACUCCUGACUGACCGAUAGUGAACCAGUACCGUGAGGGAAAGGCGAAAAGAACCCCGGCGAGGGGAGUGAAAAAGAACCUGAAACCGUGUACGUACAAGCAGUGGGAGCACCUUCGGGUGUGACUGCGUACCUUUUGUAUAAUGGGUCAGCGACUUAUAUUCUGUAGCAAGGUUAACCGUAUAGGGGAGCCGCAGGGAAACCGAGUCUUAACUGGGCGUUAAGUUGCAGGGUAUAGACCCGAAACCCGGUGAUCUAGCCAUGGGCAGGUUGAAGGUUGGGUAACACUAACUGGAGGACCGAACCGACUAAUGUUGAAAAAUUAGCGGAUGACUUGUGGCUGGGGGUGAAAGGCCAAUCAAACCGGGAGAUAGCUGGUUCUCCCCGAAAGCUAUUUAGGUAGCGCCUCGUGAACUCAUCUUCGGGGGUAGAGCACUGUUUCGGCUAGGGGGUCAUCCCGACUUACCAACCCGAUGCAAACUACGAAUACCGAAGAAUGUUAUCACGGGAGACACACGGCGGGUGCUAACGUCCGUCGUGAAGAGGGAAACAACCCAGACCGCCAGCUAAGGUCCCAAAGUCAUGGUUAAGUGGGAAACGAUGUGGGAAGGCACAGACAGCCAGGAUGUUGGCUUAGAAGCAGCCAUCAUUUAAAGAAAGCGUAAUAGCUCACUGGUCGAGUCGGCCUGCGCGGAAGAUGUAACGGGGCUAAACCAUGCACCGAAGCUGCGGCAGCGACACUAUGUGUUGUUGGGUAGGGGAGCGUUCUGUAAGCCUGCGAAGGUGUGCUGUGAGGCAUGCUGGAGGUAUCAGAAGUGCGAAUGCUGACAUAAGUAACGAUAAAGCGGGUGAAAAGCCCGCUCGCCGGAAGACCAAGGGUUCCUGUCCAACGUUAAUCGGGGCAGGGUGAGUCGACCCCUAAGGCGAGGCCGAAAGGCGUAGUCGAUGGGAAACAGGUUAAUAUUCCUGUACUUGGUGUUACUGCGAAGGGGGGACGGAGAAGGCUAUGUUAGCCGGGCGACGGUUGUCCCGGUUUAAGCAUGUAGGCUGGUUGUCCAGGCAAAUCCGGAUAAUCAAGGCUGAGGUGUGAUGACGAGGCACUACGGUGCUGAAGUAACAAAUGCCCUGCUUCCAGGAAAAGCCUCUAAGCAUCAGGUAACAUCAAAUCGUACCCCAAACCGACACAGGUGGUCAGGUAGAGAAUACCAAGGCGCUUGAGAGAACUCGGGUGAAGGAACUAGGCAAAAUGGUGCCGUAACUUCGGGAGAAGGCACGCUGGUGUGUAGGUGAAGNUGACGUUUGAGAUAUUUGCUCUUUAAAAAUCUGGAUCAAGCUGAAAAUUGAAACGACACACAGUUAAUGUGUGUUCGAGUCUCUCAAAUUUUCGCAAUCAGAAGUGAAACAUCUUCGGGUUGUGAGG
rnacentral:rRNA from 1 species